CCAGCGAACUUGGCAGAGAUGCCUUGGUGCCUUCGGGAACGCUGAGACAGGUGCUGCAUGGCUGUCGUCAGCUCGUGUUGUGAAAUGUUGGGUUAAGUCCCGCAACGAGCGCAACCCUUAUCCUUUGUUGCCAGCGAUUCGGUCGGGAACUCAAAGGAGACUGCCGGUGAUAAACCGGAGGAAGGUGGGGAUGACGUCAAGUCAUCAUGGCCCUUACGAGUAGGGCUACACACGUGCUACAAUGGCGCAUACAAAGAGAAGCGACCUCGCGAGAGCAAGCGGACCUCAUAAAGUGCGUCGUAGUCCGGAUCGGAGUCUGCAACUCGACUCCGUGAAGUCGGAAUCGCUAGUAAUCGUGGAUCAGAAUGCCACGGUGAAUACGUUCCUGGGCCUUGUACACACCGCCCGUCACACCAUGGGAGUGGGUUGCAAAAGAAGUAGGUAGCUUAACCUUCGGGAGGGCGCUUACCACUUUGUGAUUCAUGACUGGGGUGAAGUCGUAACAAGGUAGGCGUAGCGAG
rnacentral:rRNA from 1 species